UACGGAGGGUGCAAGCGUUAUCCGGCUUCCCUGUUUUUCCCUUUUUCUUAGGCGGACAGGUAAGUCAGUGGUGAAAUCUCUGAGCUUAACUCAGAAACUGCCGUUGAUACUAUUUGUCUUGAAUAUCAUGGAGGUAAGCGGAAUAUGUCAUGUAGCGGUGAAAUGCUUAGAUAUGACAUAGAACACCGAUAGCGAAGGC
rnacentral:rRNA from 1 species